rnacentral:lncRNA from 10 species
CCUCUUUUGCAGCCAGCGCGCUAGGAUGCCGGGGAGUCUUGGGCGCGAGGCUUCCGGCCGCGCGGGGCCGACGGGAUGCGGUGCCUUCGCCUUCGGAUUGCGUUGCAGAUGGAGCCUCACUCUGUCACCAACCAAGCUGCGAAUGCAGUGGCGCGAUCUCGGCUCACUGCAAUCUCCACCCCCCGAGUUCAAGUGAUUCUCCUGCCUCAGCCUCCCAAGUAGCUGGGACUAUGGGCACGCA